rnacentral:rRNA from 1 species
GUUGGUUUUGCAUAUUCAAAUAGCUGAGGAAAAGAAACCAACAGGGAUUGCCUCAGUAACGGCGAGUGAAGCGGCAAAAGCUCAAAUUUGAAAUCCCCCCGGGGAGUUGUAAUUUGAAGAUUGCGUCUUGGAGGCGACCGUGUCUAUGUUCCUUGGAACAGGACGUCACAGAGGGUGAGAAUCCCGUGCGGCACGGCCCCCGGCUCCUUAUAAGGCGCUCUCGACGAGUCGAGUUGUUUGGGAAUGCAGCUCAAAGUGGGUGGUAAAUUCCAUCUAAAGCUAAAUACAGGCGAGAGACCGAUAGCGAACAAGUACAGUGAUGGAAAGAUGAAAAGCACUUUGAAAAGAGAGUGAAACAGCACGUGAAAUUGUUGAAAGGGAAGGGCAUGCCGUCAGAUUGUCAGUGUGGGUAAGAAGCGGGGUACAAAGACUGUGGAACGUGGCCCUCGGGUGUUAUAGCCGCAGUUCAUGCCCCGUCUCUUUCCGAGGCCUGCUUUGAGGACACCGACGUAAUGACGGUACGCCGCCCGUCUUGAACCACCGGACCAAAACCGGG